rnacentral:rRNA from 1 species
AUUAAGCAUAUCAAUAAGCGGAGGAAAAGAAACUAACAAGGAUUCCCCUAGUAACGGCGAGUGAACCGGGAAGAGCUCAAAUUUGUAAUCUGGCUGUCUUCGAUAGUCCGAGUUGUAAUCUAUAGAAGCGUUUUCCGUGCUGAACUGUGUAUAAGUCCCUUGGAACAGGGUAUCAAAGAGGGUGACAAUCCCGUACUUUACACAAUCAUCAGUGCUCUGUGAUACGUUCUCUACGAGUCGAGUUGUUUGGGAAUGCAGCUCAAAAUGGGUGGUAAAUUCCAUCUAAAGCUAAAUAUUGGCGAGAGACCGAUAGCGAACAAGUACCGUGAGGGAAAGAUGAAAAGCACUUUGGAAAGAGAGUUAAACAGUACGUGAAAUUGUUAAAAGGGAAACGAUUGAAGUCAGUCGUGUUUAUUGGAUUCAGCCGGUCUUCGGUGUACUUCCUUUAAACGGGUCAACAUCAGUUUUGUUCGGUGGAUAAAGAUGCUAGGAAUGUAGCUUCCUCGGAAGUGUUAUAGACUAGUAUUGCAUACACUGGAGGAGACUGAGGACUGCAGCUCGCCUUUUGGCCGGGGUUCGCCCACGUUCGAGCUUAGGAUGUUGACAUAAUGGCUUUAAACGACCCGUCUG